rnacentral:rRNA from 1 species
GGUGAGUAACACGUGAGUAACCUGCCCCGAACUCUGGGAUAAGCGCUGGAAACGGCGUCUAAUACUGGAUAUGUCCCAUCACCGCAUGGUGUGUGGGUGGAAAGAUUUAUCGGUUCGGGAUGGACUCGCGGCCUAUCAGCUUGUUGGUGAGGUAAUGGCUCACCAAGGCGACGACGGGUAGCCGGCCUGAGAGGGUGACCGGCCACACUGGGACUGAGACACGGCCCAGACUCCUACGGGAGGCAGCAGUGGGGAAUAUUGCACAAUGGGCGCAAGCCUGAUGCAGCAACGCCGCGUGAGGGAUGACGGCCUUCGGGUUGUAAACCUCUUUUAGUAGGGAAGAAGCGAAAGUGACGGUACCUGCAGAAAAAGCACCGGCUAACUACGUGCCAGCAGCCGCGGUAAUACGUAGGGUGCAAGCGUUGUCCGGAAUUAUUGGGCGUAAAGAGCUCGUAGGCGGCUUGUCGCGUCUGCUGUGAAAACCCGAGGCUCAACCUCGGACCUGCAGUGGGUACGGGCAAGCUAGAGUGCGGUAGGGGAGAUUGGAAUUCCUGGUGUAGCGGUGGAAUGCGCAGAUAUCAGGAGGAACACCGAUGGCGAAGGCAGAUCUCUGGGCCGUAACUGACGCUGAGGAGCGAAAGCAUGGGGAGCGAACAGGAUUAGAUACCCUGGUAGUCCAUGCC